AACGAACGCUGGCGGCAGGCCUAACACAUGCAAGUCGAGCGAGGACUUCGGUCCUAGCGGCGGACGGGUGAGUAACGCGUGGGAACGUGCCCUUUGCUUCGGAAUAGCCCUGGGAAACUGGGAGUAAUACCGGAUGAGCCCUUUGGGGGAAAGAUUUAUCGGCGAAGGAUCGGCCCGCGUUGGAUUAGGUAGUUGGUGGGGUAAUGGCCUACCAAGCCGACGAUCCAUAGCUGGUUUGAGAGGUUGAUCAGCCACACUGGGACUGAGACACGGCCCAGACUCCUACGGGAGGCAGCAGUGGGGAAUCUUAGACAAUGGGGGAAACCCUGAUCUAGCCAUGCCGCGUGAGCGAUGAAGGCCUUAGGGUUGUAAAGCUCUUUCAGCUGGGAAGAUAAUGACGGUACCAGCAGAAGAAGCCCCGGCUAACUCCGUG
rnacentral:rRNA from 1 species